rnacentral:misc_RNA from 1 species
AAAAAAAAAAAAAAAUACAAACAUACUAAUUACACGCCUAACACCCAUAACGAAAACUUGCAAGAACAAAAUCCUUCUUAUUGAUAUGUAAUGGAUAAUCAUGUAAUUAUCAAGAAGAAUUUCUACCAAAGGUAAUAUAAUAUUUUUUUUUUUCCCGCAAAUUGUUAAACGUUUCCAAAGACGAUGUGCGAGACCUCCCCACUUCUACCACCGUCCCAGCUUUUGGACGAGGUGAUUUUCUAUUUCCAUUCUCUUCUUCAUCAAUAAAGCAUAUUUAGAAGUCAAUUCAUGAUUCCCAGCACUAACUGAAAGCUUGCAGCUGAAAGCUGACUUCUCCAACUUGUCCUUGUAUAAGCAUGCAAUUGGCACAAAACUACCCUUUUUGUUGCACAGCCAACCAUGAGCAGCUCUUAAUGCAGCUCCCAGGGACGCAGAAUCUGCCAAGCAAGAAACAGGGCUUCUUUAUCAGAUAAUACUGUGGAGGAGCUUCGUAGAGCAAAACAAAUCCAUUUGAAGAAUUGAACAGCAAAACAAUAAAAAAAUGAUUUGGACCCUGAAAAGUUCCUGAAUUUCUUUUCAGACCACAUAUUUGGCAUAGUGGAAAAUUAGUUCCAACAUGAUACUGCAUACCAGGUCUUUGAACAGUAUAGACAUCACAGCCAAAUAUUGAUGCUACUGAAUUCAAAAUGCUAUGAUUUGCUGAUGCUCCACCAGUGGCUAUUAUUCGUUUUGGAGGGGAGGGCAUGCCAAAUCUUUCAGCAUGAGCUCGCAUUGAGAGGAACUGGCCCUCAAUCAAUGCUCGGACCUCAGAAGCAGGAUCAAAUUCCUGCACCUCUUGUUCAUUCACUCCCUCCAGACUGUCACCCUUAAAAUUUUGGAGUUCGUAGCGAUGGAGGCCAACUUGGUUGCAGAAAUAAUUACUAGUUAAUUUGAGGCUCUUUUUACACAAUAAAUGGACAAAAUAAAUACAAAAGGAUACAAAAAGGGACACGCAGACAUAAUGGUUAUAGCAAAUUACUAUAGGACAUAUAAAAUAUGAAAGGUGUGAAAUAGUUCCUUUAUAUACUCAGAUUGAACAGGCUAUAUAUUAACUCCUCUGUUGGCCUAUGUUUUUGUAUGAAACAGAAAUCCCUAAUUGACGAGUUCCAGUGCCACGCAUAUAUGCUGCGGUGGAUAAAUUGAGGCAGUGAAGUCAGGCAGAAAGAAGUUGAAAUUCAGAAAGUCAAUGCAAUGCAAAUGCCUGGCCUCAAUACUUGAAAUGGAAAAAGAAAUUAUUAAAUACAAUAGGGUAAAAAAUCCAAGGACUGACCUGGAAGAGGAGGAAGAAUUUCA